GACGAACGCUGGCGGCGUGCUUAACACAUGCAAGUCGAACGGAAAGGCCCUGCUUUUGUGGGGUGCUCGAGUGGCGAACGGGUGAGUAACACGUGAGUAACCUGCCCUUUACUUUGGGAUAACUUCAGGAAACUGGGGCUAAUACCGGAUAGGAGCUCCUGCUGCAUGGUGGGGGUUGGAAAGUUUCGGCGGUUGGGGAUGGACUGGCGGCUUAUCAGCUUGUUGGUGGGGUAGUGGCUUACCAAGGCUUUGACGGGUAGCCGGCCUGAGAGGGUGACCGGGCACCUUGGGACUGAGAUACGGACCAGACUCCUACGGGAGGCAGCAGGGGGGAAUAUUGCACAAUGGGCGGAAGCCUGAGGCAGAAACGCCGCGUGCGGGAUGACGGCCUUCGGGUUGUAAACCGCUUUCGCCUGUGACGAAGCGGGAGUGACGGUAAUGGGUAAAGAAGCACCGGCUAACUACGUG
rnacentral:rRNA from 1 species